CCCUUGGUAGCUCAGCUGGAAGAGCGCAAGACUGUAACGGUUAUUACGUAAUCAAGAUUGUGUAAUCUUGAAUCUUGAGGCCACUGGUUCGAUCCCGGUCUAAGGGA